rnacentral:tRNA from 2 species
AGGCCCCUAGUAAAACGACCAUUACACUACCUUGUCAAGGCAGAAAUGUGGGUUGAAACCCCACGGGGCCUC